ensembl:lincRNA
AUGUUCCACGUGGCGCCCCGGAUCCCCUCCACGCCCCAGCUCAGCCUACCACUCCCCGCCCUUUCCAGAAACAUGAGGCCCAUCCCCGCCUCCAGCUGGCCCCUCACAUGGGCUGUUUCCCAGCCAGGAAUGUCCUCUCCACCAAGCCAGCCCGCACUGCUGAGAAGCUCUCAGGGAUCAGCCCCUCCCUCCUUUGUGCUCUCACAAAACGAGUUCAUUCCCCGUGAGUUAAGAUUUCCUGCACGUCUGCGGCGUGCCGGGCGCUGGGGGAGGAAGGUGCUUUGUGCUCGGCAUCAAGGUGGAUUUCAUCUGCAGGAGGUGGAAGGAAGGCUGGCUGCUGGGAGGGCACACGAUGGGCCCGAGGGCUGCUGCUCCCUGAGGCCCCCAGCGGGGAGAGGAACAUACCAGCUGACCGAGGACCAUCCCGCUGAGCAGCGGGACUUGGCGAAGUCCUUCCCCAUUUUGGAAAGUCCACCGAAUCCAGACCGUCCUAGCCGUGGCCCUGCACGCACACCCCACCUGUCCUGCUCGUCCUGUCCUGCCCGCCCCUCGGCACUGGGACUGGCUUUGGGUAACGGAGCAUCAUGAUGGCGGACACAAGCAGACCAGGCCUCGGGACUCUGGCUUGCACCCUCUGGCCUCCCUGAGACUCCAGGUGAGGGUGCCCGAGGUCGCCAGCCGGAGCCGUGGGAACCGCUGAGUCAGCACCACCGCCCCGCCGGAGGGAGGCCGGCUGAGCAUGCAGCCCAGGAGCACCUGGGGCGCUGGGGGACGCAGCCUCCCAGCCGGGCCCAAGCUGCCGCCCCGGCACUGAGAACAAAUGCAGGGCUGGUUGUCUGAGCAGCAGGUGACCCACGUGUGUGCGUGCUCAGCUGCUCAGGCGUGUCCGACUCUGCGACCCCGUGGGCUGUAGCCCGCCAGGCUCCUCUGUCCACGGGAUUCUCUAGGCAAGAGUACUGGAGUGGGCUGCCAUUUCCUCCUCCAGGGGAGCUUCCCGACCCAGGGAUCUAACCCACCUCUCUUGCAUUGGCAGGCAGAUGCUUUACCACUGAGCCACCUGGGAAGCCCCGCUAAGGUAACCAGUACCUCUGCCUUUUAGAGAUACAUCUCUCAGUGGGUUGCACUGGAGAGAAUUAAGCCAGAAAUAAGAAAGGACGGAGGGUUCCAUCUUGUCUCUGCACCACCUCUCUAUUUCCCUCUCUUUAAACAGAGAGGGUGGCCAUCUGCCUCCUGCAAGGAUUCAGAUUCAGUGAGACUCUGAAGGUGUUUGUACAAAUGCGUGUGCGCGCGCACAGUCAGCCUCUCCUUCAAGCAAGGAGGCCUCCUGAACACAGCUCCUGCAUUCUUCCUGGGUCAAGGUUGUGGCCUGGAGCCUGAGCCUCGCAGCGGCAAGAAGGGGAAGCUGGGCUUGCUGAGCUCUGAGCCCCUGAAGGCAACAGGGCUUCCCCAAGGCCUCAGAGUGGGUGGGCAGAGCCUGGAACGAGCCCAGACCCGUGACUCUGCGGGGCGGGAGGGUGGGGAUGAGAGGCCCACCCUGGGGAGGGGCCUCUGCGCGUCCUUUUCACCCAGCGCCAGUCUCUUCAUGUCGCUCCGGGGCUACCUCCCCGCC